ACGGACUGCUGCUCAGGGUGCUGCACCGGAGAUUUGCAACUACAGGCUGAGGACAGAGUAUUGCAGCUUCCCUACAAGGAGGAGGAAUCCUGCCCCGGAAUGAUUGUAAAUUAC